rnacentral:rRNA from 1 species
UACGAAGGGGGCUAGCGUUGCUCGGAAUCACUGGGCGUAAAGGGUGCGUAGGCGGGUCUUUUAAGUCAGGGGUGAAAUCCUGGAGCUCAACUCCAGAACUGCCUUUGAUACUGAAGAUCUUGAGUUCGGGAGAGGUGAGUGGAACUGCGAGUGUAGAGGUGAAAUUCGUAGAUAUUAGGAAGAACACCAGUGGCGAAGGCGGCUCACUGGUCCGGUACUGACGCUGAGGUGCGAAAGCGUGGGGAGCAAACAGGG